rnacentral:snRNA from 1 species
UUUGCUUCUCGGCCUUUUGGUUAAGAUCAAGUAUAGUAUCUGUUCUUGUCAGUUAAAUGAAAUCAGUUUCCAUAUCUUCAGGGUAUCUGUAAACCAAAUAUCCCCAUGCUUCUGAAAUCUACAGAUUGCAUUUUAAAACCUCAU